rnacentral:rRNA from 1 species
GGGGGGGCCGCGGGCCUAACACAUGCAAGUCGAGCGGUAACAGGAGAAAGCUUGCUUUCUUGCUGACGAGCGGCGGACGGGUGAGUAAUGUAUGGGGAUCUGCCCGAUAGAGGGGGAUAACUACUGGAAACGGUGGCUAAUACCGCAUAAUGUCUACGGACCAAAGCAGGGGCUCUUCGGACCUUGCACUAUCGGAUGAACCCAUAUGGGAUUAGCUAGUAGGUGGGGAAAAGGCUCACCUAGGCGACGAUCUCUAGCUGGUCUGAGAGGAUGAUCAGCCACACUGGGACUGAAACACGGCCCAGACUCCUACGGGAGGCAGCAGUGGGGAAUAUUGCACAAUGGGCGCAAGCCUGAUGCAGCCUUGCCGCGUGUAUGAAGAAGGCCUUAGGGUUGUAAAGUACUUUCAGCGGGGAGGAAGGUGAUUAGGUUAAUACCC